CAUGCCGUUGAUGACACACUUUUGAAUCUAUACCUGUGUAAUUCAAGCCAAAAUAAGCACUCCUAUGAGAGGUGGGGGGAAGAAAUCUUACUCAGACAAUGGAUUCAAAACACCAGGAUAAUGAACUGGCCAAUAAUGUUGAUUUUAGUAGGGGUCCUAAAAUAUUUGGGUUUCAAAAACUCUUUGAAACUUUCUCUCCACAACAAUGAAAAUAUGAAGAUGUAUAUGUUCCAAAUCCAAAUGAAAUGCAAGGGAUUUACGGAUCCUCGAAUGUCUACCCUCUGACUCAAACGUAAGAGCCCCAAGUUAGAUAUUUUCAUAGCAACUAGUGAUGUUUCUUUUAUAAGCCUCUCUACAUCUAUUAUUGUUGAUUUAUUGUCUGCCUUUCUGGUUGGCCUAUAAGCUCUCCGAAGGCAGAGGCCAUGUAAUCGGGGCUCCAAACAUGAUACCCCAAGGCAUGGUGCUUUGGAUGCUGCAUAUUUUUGAGAUAAGAAAUGUUGAGAGUCACAUCAGCCCCAGGUAACACAACAGAGCUGGAGAUCUGAAGACAGACCAUUAGAUUCUGGUUUCUGUUUGUGAGCUGUUACUUUAGGGUGCAACUCUACAUGUCGGCCAGAAAAGCAUCUUCUUUGUAUCUGUACUUUGUAUUUCUCAUAAGAGUCUUCUUUAGGGGAUAUGACCACAAAGUCAUUAAGCUCUUAAUUUGUUUUAUUAGAGGAACACUGUUAUAAGAGCAUUAACCUCAAUUUUAAAGAAAAAAAGUACAUCUCUCUAAAUCUCUCAAUUUUAUCAGAGGUUUCUUUUUGCAUUUUUGUCAAGGGCAUAGUAAUUUAUAAAUGGAUGAAAUCCUGGUGAAUGUAGAAUUUGUGUUCAGUUUUAUUUAACAUAUUGAGCACUUUUCAUUAGGUUGCAUUUUUCAUUAGGUUGCAUUAUUCUGAUGAUGGUUAAAUAAACAUUCUAAGAUAUGCAUGUGCA